UCCUACGGGAGGCAGCAGUAGGGAAUAUUGGGCAAUGGAGGCAACUCUGACCCAGCCAUGCCGCGUGCAGGAAGACGGUCCUAUGGAUUGUAAACUGCUUUUAUCAUAGAGUAACCGGCGGGACGGGUCCCGCCCUGCAAGUAUAUGAUGAAUAAGCAUCGGCUAACUCCGUGCCAGCAGCCGCGGUAAUACGGAGGAUGCGAGCGUUAUCCGGAUUUAUUGGGUUUAAAGGGUGCGCAGGCUGAUCGGUAAGUCAAUGGUGAAAAUCUCCUGCUUAACAGGAGUCGUGCCAAUGAUACUGCCGGACUAGAGUUCAAGAGGUGUGACUGGAAUGUGGCGUGUAGCGGUGAAAUGCUUAGAUAUGCCACAGAACGCCGAUCGUGAAGACAGGUCACAAACUUGCGACUGACGCUCAUGCACGAAAGCGUGGGGAUCAAACAGGAUUAGAUACCCUGGUAGUCCACGCUGUAAACGAUGAUCACUCGUUGUUGGGGGGCGACCUUCAGUGGCUAAGCGAAAGCUAUAAGUGAUCCACCUGGGGAGUACGAUCGCAAGGUUGAAACUCAAAGGAAUUGACGGGGGCCCGCACAAGCGGAGGAGCAUGUGGUUUAAUUCGAUGAUACGCGAGGAACCUUACCCGGGCUUGAACGUGAGACGAGAGUGGAGGAAACUUCACUGCCUACGGGCGUCUUGCGAGGUGCUGCAUGGUUGUCGUCAGCUCGUGCCGUGAGGUGUUAGGUUAAGUCCUGCAACGAGCGCAACCCUUACCCGUAGUUGCCAUCGCGUUGAGGCGGGAACUCUACGGGAACUGCCUACGCAAGUAGAGAGGAAGGUGGGGAUGACGUCAAAUCAGCACGGCCCUUAUGUUCGGGGCUACACACGUGCUACAAUGGCAUGUACAGAGGGCAGCGACCAUGCGAGUGGUAGCCAAUCCUCAAAUCAUGUCUCAGUUCGGAUCGGAGUCUGUAACUCGACUCCGUGAAGUUGGAUUCGCUAGUAAUCGCGCAUCAGCCAUGGCGCGGUGAAUACGUUCCCGGAC
rnacentral:rRNA from 1 species